GAUCUGUUAGGGUUCCAAAUUUAGCCCUUAAGUCUUUCCAUUUCUUUCUCUGAAACUCUGUUUUAGGUUCUGGAAAUAGUUCCCCGAUUCAAACCCCGUUCUUGAAAAUCUUGACUCUUACUCACCGUUCUUUCCUUGUUCCUGUAAUUUCUGAUUAUGGAAGAGGAAUCUUGGGAGCAAAAGUUGAGGGAUUUGGAACAGGGCAUUUGUGAAAUUGUUGAUAGGGCAUUUAAAAGAUGUGAGGAAAGGUUGGAUAAAAUAUGGAGAAGUGGGAGAUAUCGUUUCAAGAGAAAAUGGAGAAAUUUGAAAUAGAGGGGCAAGUGCCCAUUAAGGAUGUGGACAUAGUAGAGGAGGAUCCCAAUAUAGAAAAGUUUGACGUGAGCUACUGAACGUAGAUGAGGAGCAAAUGGAAAUUCAUGCUUCACUUGCUAUUGAGGAAGAAAAUUUAGAAGUGUCUUGCAGCCAAGUUUUGGAUGUUAAGGCUCAUAUCCCUAACCUGAAGUUUGAAUACGUGGGUCAUGAUAUUCCACAAAAGCAGUCCAUCAUGAUUUUCACUGCUGAUAAGUUAGAUGGAAUGUUGUCUGAGCUGGUGACUUCAGAAGAAGACAGGGAGAUAAUGUUUAAACUCCAGAGGAGGUGCCAAAAACUGACCAAGUUUUAGUCAUUUUUGGGCAUUACAUCUGCUGCACGUGGUCCUUUCCAAACACAUGGCA
rnacentral:misc_RNA from 1 species